GACCCCGUAGCUCAGUGGUAGAGCGUGAGAUUCCAGAGUAGCGGAAUUUCCUCAAGGUCAUCCGUUCAAUCCGGGUCGGGGUCA
rfam:Lentinula edodes NBRC 111202 DNA, contig: scaffold17.